UACGAAGGGGGCUAGCGUUGUUCGGAUUUACUGGGCGUAAAGCGCACGUAGGCGGUUUGUUAAGUGAGAGGUGAAAUCCCAGAGCUCAACUCUGGAACUGCCUUUCAUACUGGCAAGCUAGAGUCCGGAAGAGGUAAGUGGAACUCCUAGUGUAGAGGUGGAAUUCGUAGAUAUUAGGAAGAACACCAGUGGCGAAGGCGGCUCACUGGCCCGGUACUGACGCUGAGGUGCGAAAAGCGUGGGGAGCAAACAGGG
rnacentral:rRNA from 1 species